GGGACUGUGGCGAAGUGGUAUCGCGUUCGCUUUGGGUGCGAAAGAUCGUCGGUUUCGAUCCCGGCCUGUCCCC
rnacentral:tRNA from 1 species